UACAGAGGGUGCGAGCGUUGUUCGGAAUUACUGGGCGUAAAGGGCGCGCAGGCGGCCUUAGAAGUCAGAUGUGAAAGCCCCGGGCUCAACCUGGGAAUGGCAUUUGAUACUCUGAGGCUGGAGUACGGGAGGGGAGAGUGGAAUUCCCAGUGUAGAGGUGAAAUUCGUAGAUAUUGGGAAGAACACCGGUGGCGAAGGCGGCUCUCUGGACCGUAACUGACGCUGAGGCGCGAAAGCGUGGGGAGCAAACAGG
rnacentral:rRNA from 1 species